rnacentral:rRNA from 1 species
AGUGCAUGUGGUGGAUGCCUUGGCAGUCAGAGGCGAUGAAAGACGUGAUAGCCUGCGAAAAGCUCCGGGGAGGCGGCAAAUAUCCUUUGAUCCGGAGAUGUCUGAAUGGGGGAACCCACCUACUUUAAGGUAGGUAUUGCAACAUGAAUACAUAGUGUUGCAAGGCGAACGAGGGGAAGUGAAACAUCUCAGUACCCUUAGGAAAAGAAAUCAAUUGAGAUUCCCUCAGUAGCGGCGAGCGAACGGGGAUCAGCCCAUUAAGUUAUGUGUGUUUUAGUGGAACGCUCUGGGAAGUGCGAACGUAGAGGGUGAUAUUCCCGUACACGAAAGGGCACACAUAAUGAUGACGAGUAGGGCGAGGCACGUGAAACCUUGUCUGAAUAUGGGGGGACCAUCCUCCAAGGCUAAAUACUCCUGACUGACCGAUAGUGAACCAGUACCGUGAGGGAAAGGCGAAAAGAACCCCUGUGAGGGGAGUGAAAUAGAUCCUGAAACCGCAUGCAUACAAGCAGUGGGAGCACCUUCGUGGUGUGACUGCGUACAUUUUGUAUAAUGGGUCAGCGACUUAUAUUCAGUAGCGAGGUUAACCGUAUAGGGGAGCCGUAGAGAAAUCGAGUCUUAAUAGGGCGUUUAGUUGCUGGGUAUAGACCCGAAACCAGGCGAUCUAUCCAUGAGCAGGUUGAAGGUUGGGUAACACUAACUGGAGGACCGAACCCACUGUCGUUGAAAAGCCAGGGGAUGACUUGUGGAUAGGGGUGAAAGGCUAAUCAAGCCUGGUGAUAGCUGGUUCUCCCCGAAAGCUAUUUAGGUAGCGCCUCGGACGAAUACCAUAGGGGGUAGAGCACUGUUUCGGCUAGGGGGUCAUCCCGACUUACCAAACCGAUGCAAACUCCGAAUACCUAUGAGUACUAUCCGGGAGACAGACUGCGGGUGCUAACGUCCGUAGUCAAGAGGAAAACAAUCCAGACCGCCAGCUAAGGCCCCAAAAUCAUAGUUAAGUGGGAAACGAUGUGGGAAGGCAUAGACAGCUAGGAGGUUGGCUUAGAAGCAGCCACCCUUUAAAGAAAGCGUAAUAGCUCACUAGUCGAGUCGGCCUGCGCGGAAGAUGUAACGGGGCUAAAACUAUGUGCCGAAGCUGCGGAUGUAUACUUUGUAUACGUGGUAGUGGAGCGUUCUGUAAGCCGAUGAAGGUGUGUUGAGAAGCAUGCUGGAGGUAUCAGAAGUGCGAAUGCUGACGUGAGUAACGACAAAACGGGUGAAAAACCCGUUCGCCGAAAGACCAAGGGUUCCAGUCCAACGUUAAUCGGGGCUGGGUGAGUCGACCCCUAAGGCGAGGCCGAAAGGCGUAGUCGAUGGGAAAAUGGUUAAUAUUCCAUUACUUCUGUGUAAUGCGAUGAGAGGACGGAGAAGGCUAAAUCAGCCUGGCGUUGGUUGUCCAGGUGAAAGGAUGUAGGCAUGUAUCUUAGGCAAAUCCGGGGUACUCUAUGCUGAGAUCUGAUAGCAAGCUGUACUUGUACAGCGAAGUGGUUGAUGCCAUGCUUCCAGGAAAAGUCUCUAAGCUUCAGUUACACAGGAAUCGUACCCGAAACCGACACAGGUGGUCAGGUCGAGUAGACCAAGGCGCUUGAGAGAACUCUGCUGAAGGAACUAGGCAAAAUGGUACCGUAACUUCGGGAGAAGGUACGCUGUUGUUGGUGAUGGAACUCGCUUCCUGAGCUGACGACAGCCGCAGAAACCAGGCCGCUGCAACUGUUUAUUAAAAACAUAGCACUCUGCAAACACGAAAGUGGACGUAUAGGGUGUGAUGCCUGCCCGGUGCUGGAAGGUUAAUUGAUGGGGUUAGCGUAAGCGAAGCUCUUGAUCGAAGCCCCAGUAAACGGCGGCCGUAACUAUAACGGUCCUAAGGUAGCGAAAUUCCUUGUCGGGUAAGUUCCGACCUGCACGAAUGGCAUAAUGAUGGCGGCGCUGUCUCCAGCAGAGGCUCAGUGAAAUCGAAAUCGCUGUGAAGAUGCAGUGUACCCGCGGCUAGACGGAAAGACCCCGUGAACCUUUACUGCAGCUUGACACUGAACUUUGACCUUACUUGUGUAGGAUAGGUGGGAGGCUUUGAAGCUGGAACGCUAGUUCCAGUGGAGCCGUCCUUGAAAUACCACCCUGGUAAUGUUGAGGUUCUAACUCUGUCCCGUGAUCCGGGACGAGGACCGUGUCUGGUGGGUAGUU